rnacentral:tRNA from 1 species
ACUUAUGUAGUUUAAUAAAAACGAUAGUUUUGUAAACUAUAGUCGGUUCGCCUGUGAGUA